CACGGAGGGCGCAAGCGUUGUCCGGAAUUAUUGGGCGUAAAGAGCUCGUAGGCGGUCUGUUGCGUCCGCUGUGAAAACUCGGGGCUUAACCCCGAGCCUGCAGUGGAUACGGGCAGACUAGAGGUAGGUAGGGGAGAAUGGAAUUCCCGGUGUAGCGGUGAAAUGCGCAGAUAUCGGGAGGAACACCGGUGGCGAAGGCGGCAUCCUGGACCGGCAUUGACGCUGAGGAGCGAAAGCCAGGGGAGCAAACGGG
rnacentral:rRNA from 1 species